ensembl:lncRNA IKBKB-DT IKBKB divergent transcript
GGCAGACCAGGUCCGGAUGCUGCGAGUGCUGCGCCUGUCCCGGGACCCUCGACCGGGCGACUCCCCCGGGGCGGGGGUGGCGUGUGGUCUCUAGACAACUGAGGGAAAGUAGACAGACCGUGCUCACCGAUUUAAAAGAACAGCCCUGAAAUGACCCCCGUUACACCCUGUUCUCUUUAGACAAGUUACUUCCACCUGGAGCGGUUUCUGGGCCCGGGUAUGGGGAUUUCUUCACCCGGCCCCCUAGGCUUUCACCUCGGUGGAAUUUCCCGCGCCCCCGCUGGGAUGAUUUAGGGACUGUUGGCUAGAACUGCCCUUGCCUACCGCCCUACUGCGGGCGCUCCCCUGUCUGGGGGGUGCUUGGCUGGGUGUGGAGAAGGAUCAAUCACAGCUGACUCCUCAGAGGUGACAGCCCCUGCCCCCUUAAAAACAAGAAAAGACCUAGCAGUGUGAAGCCAAACUGCACCCCCAGCCCCGGUGACAUGAGGAAACCGUGAGGCGCUCAGCCUGAGGUUCAUCGUUCAUCUCCUUCCUGCUUGGAAUCAGAAUGUCCUCACUGCUGAGUUUCUCCGUUUUAUGGGAUUACAUUAGUGGACAAAGGAGUGAAGCAAAGCAGCACUGAGCUCCUCCAAGUAAAGAAAGAAUUGUUUUCUGUACAACCUGGAGCUGAAUCAUAGAAGGAGAAGACAGCUUGAAAGAUAAGAGGCCGUAAGGCAGACCACAGAGGAUGGGGAGGAUUUCCCCAGCACCCCAGCCCCCAUAGUCAGCUCUGGUUCAGCGAUUUCAGCAACUCUUUCAUGACCCAUCUGAUUUUGUUUUAUCCCAGCCCUGCAGAGAAAGGACUCUGCAGGUCAGGACUUGCUUCUUCAACAGACAAAAACUCCUCUGCCAGAAAAGUUGGAGAAACUAGUUUAGAAAGUCGGAGGAUGUGAAGAAGUCUGCCUUUGUUCUGGGGACCUUGGUGGGAGAUGAGGGUGGGCUGGUGGAGACGAGGGUGAGAAUGAACCUUGCCGCAGACCCUUUGGGCUCCAUGCAGAGCUGGCUGCAGAAGAGGAAGGAAAGGAAAUUGGCCAGCUGCUGUCUCUGUGACUGGACCUGGGCCAAUCAAGAAACUGAGAGGAGCAGGGCCAGCCGGCUGUUGUGCCUCAAACUUAGGCAGAAACAAGCAAAGGCAAGGAUUUGGGGCUCUGAGUCACCCUCUCUGGAGGAACAAGAGCUUAGAGGAGGAAAUCACUUUUUAAGCUCCCUUUACUUUUACACACACGUUUUUAUUCCAGUAAAUUCAAACUAAAGAGGAAGAAGUCAUGAAAGGGCAGCUGCCACCUCAGGCCAUGGUGGCGGAGACAAAGGCUAUGGGCCGGUGUAGACGUCUAAGAAACCAACAGGAAGUCCCAGCCGGAAACACAGAAAGGAUAUGGAGAAAAUUAUUAUUCUGCCCCUACAGUUUCGGUGACCCAGAUGGGAUCUCUGGGACACCCUGCCUGCUCUACAAUUGGGAUCCCUGGAAAAGUGACAGAAUCUGGCAACAGCCCCCACCUAGGAACUGACUCAGAGCAAGAAGACAGCUCCGACUCCCUGUGAUUUCAUCCCUGACCAAUCAGCUCUUCUAGCUCACUGGCUUCCCCCAACCCACGAAGUUGUCCUUAAAAACUCUGCUCCCGACUGCUGGGAGAGACUGAUUUGAGUAAUAAUAAAACUGGUCUCCUGCACAGCCA